rnacentral:rRNA from 1 species
AGUGAGCGCUGGCGGUAGGCCUAACACAUGCAAGUCGAACGGCAGCACAGUAAGAGCUUGCUCUUACGGGUGGCGAGUGGCGGACGGGUGAGGAAUACAUCGGAAUCUACUUUUUCGUGGGGGAUAACGUAGGGAAACUUACGCUAAUACCGCAUACGACCUACGGGUGAAAGCAGGGGAUCUUCGGACCUUGCGCGAUUGAAUGAGCCGAUGUCGGAUUAGCUAGUUGGCGGGGUAAAGGCCCACCAAGGCGACGAUCCGUAGCUGGUCUGAGAGGAUGAUCAGCCACACUGGAACUGAGACACGGUCCAGACUCCUACGGGAGGCAGCAGUGGGGAAUAUUGGACAAAGGGCGCAAGCCUGAUCCAGCCAUACCGCGUGGGUGAAGAAGGCCUUCGGGUUGUAAAGCCCUUUUGUUGGGAAAGAAAAGCAGCAGGUUAAUACCCCGCUGUUCCGACGGUACCCAAAGAAUAAGCACCGGCUAACUUCGUG